AGGUUAUAGUCCUUUUCUUUUUA
rnacentral:tRNA from 1 species